UUGAAAUAAACCUGAUGGGUUGUUGCUGGUUCUCUUGGGAGCAUGUGCACGCCUUGUCAUCUUUAUAUCUCCACCUGUGCACCUUUUGUAGACCUUUCAGGUCUAUGUUGCUUCAUUUACCCCAAUGUAUGUUAAUAGAAUGUUGUGCCUUAUAUAAUAAUAUA
rnacentral:misc_RNA from 1 species